GGCGACCUGCAAAGAGCAUUGAGUGAGCAACAUCCGUUAAAAAACGUGGGGGAGACUCACCUUAACCAUAACAUUCGCACUGAAUAUGUACGAGGAGAAAAACACCCAAAACACGUCGUAAAUUAACAGGCCAGUCAGCAGGAGGGUGGAAACUUUCAAACUGGGCAAUCGGACAAACGCUAUGAACGCAACGCAUAGACCCAUGCCCAUUGCGUCCAUCAAUAGCCAAUGACCUGCAAACAAGAAGUUGGUUAAAAUUUAAUUGAAAUGGUAACAUUGCACAUGUAUAAACAGAGCCAUAAUCCCACUUUUGCAUGCUUGAAUGUCUAGAGUCUGGAACAUUUCUUUCAAAGCUUUUCAACGAAAAAACCAAAUCGGCAGGAUAUUGUGACUUUCCCUUCGCCCAACUAUUUACAUAAGAUGAGGCUCCAAACAAACAUGGUUUGGCAUUGUGCUGAUAAGCUCACCUGUUAAUACCCAAAUGCAAACGAUGAAGACGGAUAGGGAAAACGAGAGUAAUUCGGCUGAAGUGAAUCGGCCACAUAUCCCGAAAGAUAUCUUCGUUCCAUCCGAACAUGGUCUGAUUAUGUACUGGCACAUUGGAAGAAGCAGGAAGGCCAAAGCAACCGUAGCAAUUACUAAAAAAAAAAACGUUAAGUAUGUACAUAGUUUAUAGGCUACAUGCAAAAAUACCCUACAUUCAGACUGAGAUUUUACGUGUUAACUUUCAUCGGAAAACCCAUAAAUUUUGAACAAUUAAACCCGCAAACAUCAGUGUUUCUUAUGUUGGAAA
rnacentral:lncRNA from 1 species